UUUGAUGUGAUGGAUUUUUUAAAGUUUGAAGGGAAUUAAACACAUCCUUAGUUUUAAGUUACGAAGCCCACUUCUUUCAUAUGUGGCAGCGCGUUUUGCUUUUGUCGACUAAAUCUACCAUAUAAUUCACCAACUCAUUUUACUUAUCAUUCACUCCUACUCUUACAUUCAUCACUCAACGGUUCAGAUCGUCCGUGUAAAAUCGAACGAUGGAGAUCGAUCCAACCUCCCCCCUCCCGGAAUCGCUGAUUCCACCUCCCACCUCCUGAAUCGCGCACGCCCCACUAUCUCUCUUGCUCUCCCAGAUCCACGUCUCCUCUCCGCCCCUAACCACGCCGCUGCCCUAAUCGCCGCCUGCCGCAUGCCGCCGCCUUAGAUCCUCCGUCGUCAAGGGCGCCGGCUCGCCGUGGUCUCCAUUGCCGCCCUCAUCUCUCCCCUGUCGCCGCCUACUGUGAGUCCUCGACGAAGGUGAAGCGGUGGCGCGGUGAUCUCCGGUGAAAUCGACGCGCAACGCCGCAAUUCGUUUCUGACUGAGGUGGCGCAGUGGCUGGAGCGAAAGGCGCCUCGCCGGCAUGACGUGGACUGCAGCGGAUCUUCGGCAACAUCACAGCGCCAUUGCUCCAUCUUCCAUCGGCAAUUGUGCUCCUCGUUGGCAAGUGGCGGCUUGAACAGUAGCAUGGCGCUCCCCGGCGACCGAUCUGUGUGGCAGCUCUAACGAUCUUUGUGCUCCCCUGUUGUGCUGCUAAUCUCCAUUGAGAUCAGUCAAUAGUAGGGAAUCUCUCCUAUGUGGUCAAGGGUGCUGGCUUGCUGGGGUCUCCGUCACCCUGACAUCAGGUUGCCGUCGAUCCAUCGCCUUCAUAUUUUGUUGGCUUCCCAGAUUGCCAAUUCCUGUCCUAGAUUGUUGGUAGUUUGUCUACUGAGGAUUCUGUACUGGAAAACAUGUCAGGGCAGUGUGGCGUUGUGCUGUCUGUGAAUACAUGUUUCUUUGAGAGGGAGGAGCAUGAGAGAGAACGCCAGAUUUUUUUGGCAUUCUCAACUAGAAUGAGAAAUAUGAAUACACUGUUCGAAUUUUGGAAGAUGUGAAUCUGCCAAGAUGUUUGCCAAGCUCUACAUACACCAUUUGUUUGCUAAGGUGUUUUCAGUAAAAUUCCUUUGGGCAACUGUGACAAUGGUAAAUCAAGAAAAUGAUGGUUGCAACUUACAAGGAUCGGUUUUGGUAGGACCACCAAGUUGCCUAGGAUUUUCGGGUAAGGAUUAUUUGUUGUUCUGAUGCGGAUCAUGGAAAUCGUGUGAAAAAUUAUCCAGAUUCUGGUCUUGAAUUAUACUUGCCAAAACUGACAAGAUUAUAUGAAUAUCUAUAAAAAUAACUCUACUGUUUCUUUUUGUGUGGACAUAUAUUGUAUAUUGAAGUGAUAAUAUAUAAUUGUCGAUGGUCAUGGAUUAUUAUUUUCAUAUAGUAAUAAUAUCAGGUAUGCUGAUUUAGAAAGCUUUUGGUCUAGAAUAUUCUGAUUUUCUCUCUUUCUAAGGCCAAGCUAUGGUAUUUUUUAUUCACCUAAGUUGCAAAUUGUAAUGAGUUUUAUUUCUAUACAUCCAAAUGAAAAUAAUACUUCCUCCGUUGAAGCAAGCAUGUGAUAUAGAGAUUGUAUCAAGCAGCCAAAAUAUCAUGUGCUCGUCAUGGAAGGCGGUCGGAGUCGGAGAAAAGAAGUGGACCAGUUAAUAUAACAUCUCUAGGCAUUUUGCUUUUUAGUUGUUGUUUGCUAGCAUAAUUACUUUUUGUAUUUUGUUGUUUUCUAGAUGUUUCGAAAUUUUGAUGAACGAUUUCGGUCGCGACUUA